GAAUUACUGAAGAGUCCCAAACAGGACGACACAGUUGUCCAGUGC
rnacentral:hammerhead_ribozyme from 1 species